rnacentral:snRNA from 12 species
AUGAUUAUCAGGGGGGAUGACACCACAAUCAGCAAGGUAGUUGGUUUUGGGGAGGAGGUGGUGGUGUUGGGAAAGGGGUGUUUACAACGAGGCUCACCCCUUGCAGUCUGGAUGUGCUAACCCCUAUGUUUUGCCAAACGUGGGGAAUGCAACUGCAUAACUCAUAGUAGUGGAGAACCGCUUUCGUGCUCUCCU